GCCCUCGUGGCGAAAUGGUUAUCGCAUCUGACUUCUAUCUACGAGGAAUCUGAAGAUUGCCGGUUCGAGUCCGGCCGGGGGUA